rnacentral:rRNA from 1 species
AGCUCCAAGAGCGUAUAUUAAAGUUGUUGCAGUUAAAAAGCUCGUAGUUGGAUUUCUGGCUUCAAUGCGCCUGGCCCGCGGCGGUUACGCCUGUGAGUGCCGGUGCGCGUUGGCCAUCCUUCUAGAGAACGUUUCUACCCUUCACUGGGCCGGACUCGCGAUCUAGAUCUUUUACUUUGAAAAAAUUAGAGUGUUUAAAGCAGGCAAUUGCUGUGAAUACAUUAGCAUGGAAUAAUGAUCUAGGACUUCGGUUCUAUUUUGUUGGUUUCUAGAAUUGAAGUAAUGAUUGAUAGGGAUAGUUGGGGGUGCUAGUAUUGGCCGGCCAGAGGUGAAAUUCUUGGAUUCGGUCAAGACUAACCUAAGCGAAAGCAUUCACCAAGGAUGUCUUCUUUAAUCAAGA